rnacentral:rRNA from 2 species
GACGUAGGAUGCAAGCGUUGUCCGGAUUUAUUGGGCGUAAAGAGUUCGUAGGUGGUUUGUUAAGUCUGAUGUUAAAGACUGAGGCUCAACCUCGGGAGUGCAUUGGAUACUGGCAGACUAGAGUAUGGUAGAGGCAAGCGGAAUUCCCAGUGUAGCGGUGAAAUGCGUAGAUAUUGGGAAGAACACCGGUGGCGUAGGCGGCUUGCUGGGCCAUAACUGACACUGAGGAACGAAAGCCAGGGGAGCGAAUGGG